UCUUGCUCCAGGGUGUGGCUACUUGCCCGUUGCUGCCCCAGAGAAAAGUGUGAGGAAGCAAGUUCUCGUCCAUCCAUCCUCUUUGUUCCCUUGCCAGGUCCAAGCAAGCAAGAGUGGCGCCACGAUCCUGAGAAACUCAGCACUUAAUCUGGGUUAAUGGCACUGGGGAUGUGUAGCAUGUGUGAGCCUGUCAGUGAAGAUACAUCAUCGAUAAUAUAUUUACUCCAUAGAAUAAUGUGAGCUACCAACACAGAGCACAGUGAAUCUGUAAAGCCGCUGAAAUACCUAGAGGAAGUCUGGAUCCAAACUCUAUUCAGGCAGGCAGUAUGUAAAUUUCAUGACUGGAUUUAACUACAUUUACUUUAACCCAAUUGCCAGAUUUUUGCAGGUUAGCACUUUAUUCUACCUGAGGUUGACUUGGGCUCCCACUUCACCUGCACCCUCGAGAGACUCCCUGCCCAUUCUUGUAAAGCUUCAUCCAAAAACCUCCAGUUUUCAUUUAAAAGUAGCAUUUCUUCACCAUCCUGACCCCAACGGAUUUCCCAGGAAUUCCACUUACAUCAUGUGUAAUAGGUCACCUUCCCCCUGCCCCCACCACCGCCGGAUCCUUUUUUUUUUUUUUUUUU